rnacentral:rRNA from 1 species
GAUGAACGCUGGCGGCGUGCUUAACACAUGCAAGUCGAACGGUCAAGCUCCAGCUUUCUGGCGUGGACGAGUGGCGCACGGGUGAGUAACACGUGAGCAACCUGCCCCUGACUCUGGGAUAACAGCUGGAAACGGCUGCGCUUACCGGAGAUGCACUAUUAAAGCGUGUUCUUCAGUGGUGAAGAUCUUUCGGUCGGGGAUUGGCUGGCGGCUUAUCGCCUCGUUGGCUAGUUAAUGGCUCACCAAGGCGCCGAGGGAUAGCCGACUUGAGAGGGUGACCGCCGACACUGGGCCUAAGAGACGGAGCAGACGCGAACGGGAGGCAGCGGUGGGGAAUAUGGCACAAUGGGCGAGAGCCAGAUGCAGAAGCGCCGCGUGAGGGAAGACGGCCUUCGGGUUGUAAACCACUUUUAACAGAGAAGAAGCGGGAGUGACGGUACCUGAAGAAAAAGCGCCGGCUAACUACGUG